rnacentral:rRNA from 1 species
UACAGAGGGUGCGAGCGUUAAUCGGAAUUACUGGGCGUAAAGCGUGCGUAGACGGUUAUGUAAGUCGGGUGUGAAAGCCCCGGGCUCAACCUGGGAAUUGCAUUCGAGACUGCAUAGCUAGGAUGCGGAAGAGGGAAGUGGAAUUUCCGGUGUAGCGGUGAAAUGCGUAGAUAUCGUAAGGAAGACCAGUGGCGAAGGCGGGUCUCUGGACAGUUCCUGACGCUGAGGGCACGAAGGUCAGGGGAGCAAACGGGG